rnacentral:rRNA from 1 species
GAUGAACGCUGGCGGCGUGCUUAACACAUGCAAGUCGAACGGGAAACUUUUCAUUGAAGCUUCGGCAGAUUUGGUCUGCUUCUAGUGGCGGACGGGUGAGUAACGCGUGGGUAACCUGCCUUAUACAGGGGGAUAACAACCAGAAAUGGUUGCUAAUACCGCAUAAGCGCACAGGACCGCAUGGUCCGGUGUGAAAAACUCCGGUGGUAUAAGAUGGACCCGCGUUGGAUUAGCUAGUUGGCAGGGCAACGGCCUACCAAGGCGACGAUCCAUAGCCGGCCUGAGAGGGUGAACGGCCACAUUGGGACUGAGACACGGCCCAGACUCCUACGGGAGGCAGCAGUGGGGAAUAUUGCACAAUGGGGGAAACCCUGAUGCAGCGACGCCGCGUGAAGGAAGAAGUAUCUCGGUAUGUAAACUUCUAUCAGCAGGGAAGAUAGUGACGGUACCUGACUAAGAAGCCCCGGCUAACUACGUGCCAGCAGCCGCGGUAAUACGUAGGGGGCAAGCGUUAUCCGGAUUUACUGGGUGUAAAGGGAGCGUAGACGGACUGGCAAGUCUGAUGUGAAAGGCGGGGGCUCAACCCCUGGACUGCAUUGGAAACUGUUAGUCUUGAGUGCCGGAGAGGUAAGCGGAAUUCCUAGUGUAGCGGUGAAAUGCGUAGAUAUUAGGAGGAACACCAGUGGCGAAGGCGGCUUAC